rnacentral:rRNA from 1 species
AUUGGACGCUGGCGGCAUGCCUUACACAUGCAAGUCGAACGGUAACGGGCCUUCGGGUGCCGACGAGUGGCGAACGGGUGAGUAAUACAUCGGAACGUGCCCGAUCGUGGGGGAUAACGAGGCGAAAGCUUUGCUAAUACCGCAUACGAUCUACGGAUGAAAGCAGGGGACCGCAAGGCCUUGCGCGGACGGAGCGGCCGAUGGCAGAUUAGGUAGUUGGUGGGAUAAAAGCUUACCAAGCCGACGAUCUGUAGCUGGUCGGAGAGGAUGAUCAGCCACACUGGGCCUGAGACACGGCCCAGACUCCUACGGGAGGCAGCAGUGGGGAAUUUUGGACAAUGGGCGCAAGCCUGAUCCAGCCAUGCCGCGUGCAGGAUGAGGGCCUUCGGGUUGUAAACUGCUUUUGUACGGAACGAAAAGCCUUCUUUUAAUACAGGAGGGUCAUGACGGUACCGUAAGAAUAAGCACCGGCUAACUACGU